GUCGUAAAUGAACGUAAUGACGUGUUUGUCUGUGGGAACUGAGUUGAGCUGGUGAUCACGUCCGUUCUACCGUGCCAUAAAAAAGACAGGGAGGGGGGGAUUCCUGCUGUGAGUUUGGAACGGCCCGAGCUGGCAGUAUAAGUACACCAGCGUCCAAAUAGUCCCUCCGAUUUCCUUUUUUAUCUACUUUUCCAUAACCCCGUGGAUGACGUCACGAGAUAAGGAAAGGUGUUAUGAGAGGAGUAAAGGAAACGGCCAAUCGGGCACUUCAACUAGGUGACGUAAUAAUCUGCGAAGCAUGCACUUCGAACACGCGCAUGAUUUCAAAGGUGACGACGGAGGAGGAUAAGCCGCACAUGUCGGAGCACACAUACUCCACACAACAAUGUCGGGAAGUUUGCUUUGUCCCAAAACAACGAGUAUGUCCACGCUUGCGCACUCCCCAAGUUCGUUCUCCAAGUCUGGUCCCACGAGUCCGUACCCAGGAGUUCACAAGUACGGAGUAUGCAUACUUAGAAUUGAGAAAUGACAUGGUGUCCAGUUGGAAUUCCGAGGCUAUACUUUGUGUGUAUGUGGCGGAAUUCUGAGACUAUACUGUGUGUGUAUGUGACAGAAUUCCGAGUUCUGGAGGAAUUCCGGCUUUUAUCCAGACCCGAAAAGUACACGCACAUCAGCGCGCACACAUACGCACACAAUGUGUCUGUACAUACACACAUAGCUUGAUGAACCCUCUGAUUAGCACAGAAUCUGCUCUUUAUAGAAGCACAGAGUCAAAAGCAUCAUAUACAGAAAGGAGUUCUGCAUUGGAGCUGUCAAUCAAUGCUCAACGAGGAGGAAACCCUGUUCUUCAGCUUCCUUUUUCUGACUCUUUUUGCAAAAUAUCAAUUAUAUCCAGAUGCAUCUUUUCCCUCCUGAGAUUACAAAUUAACUGUCCUCUGCUUCAUACCUCUUACAUUGCAUAAAGACAUGUUUAACUGUUUCUUGCUGUUCACAGUACUCUCACCCACUACUCUCGUGCUUUGCCAUUUUGAAUGAAGUAUUAUUUAAUCCACAAUGCCCAAAUCUUAGUUUUUAUAUUACUGUUUCACAUCUUUGAUUUAACAUAGGAAACCCUCCUCCCUCCUCUCAUCAUUUAUAGGAGGGGCGGGGACAACAGUUAAAGUUAGUGACAUAAUAUGUCUCAGUCAAUUGCAAAAUUCAGUUGUAAUAGUCUGCGUUCAACCUUAGAGGGCAGUGAUUGACAGUUUACAAUUAAAUACACAAAAUUUAAAUAUGUUUACUAAAAUGUUAAAAGUUGGACUAGGAUCAAUCAAGAUGACUACUUAAUACCCAAAUGUAUUCAGCAGGAAAAAAAGUGGGUUGAGGUUUAGUUACUCUUUAAGAAGGAAAAAAAAAAAGGUAAUCGCAUACAUCUAUAAAAGUGCCUAUUUUUAAUGAAAAAAAAAAAAAGUGCAAUUAACCUCCAAGCUAAAAUUUAUUGAGGAGUGAGGUAGUUAUGACUCUGUGUUAAUGUUUUGAAUUUUUUAAAUGAAAAUUAUCAAUUGGACAAUCUCUCAUAUUUACUAAGUGUUACUGAUUAAGUAUUAUCCUUCUUUAAAAUAAAUAAAUACAUUGAAUAGAUAAACGCUUUAAA
rnacentral:lncRNA from 1 species